GAACCGCAUGGUUCGAAAUUGAAAGGCGGCUUCGGCUGUCACUUAUGGAUGGACCCGCGUCGCAUUAGCUAGUUGGUGAGGUAACGGCUCACCAAGGCAACGAUGCGUAGCCGACCUGAGAGGGUGAUCGGCCACACUGGGACUGAGACACGGCCCAGACUCCUACGGGAGGCAGCAGUAGGGAAUCUUCCGCAAUGGACGAAAGUCUGACGGAGCAACGCCGCGUGAGUGAUGAAGGCUUUCGGGUCGUAAAACUCUGUUGUUAGGGAAGAACAAGUGCUAGUUGAAUAAGCUGGCACCUUGACGGUACCUAACCAGAAAGCCACGGCUAACUACGUGCCAGCAGCCGCGGUAAUACGUAGGUGGCAAGCGUUAUCCGGAAUUAUUGGGCGUAAAGCGCGCGCAGGUGGUUUCUUAAGUCUGAUGUGAAAGCCCACGGCUCACCCGUGGAGGGUCAUUGGAAACUGGGAGACUUGAGUGCAGAAGAGGAAAGUGGAAUUCCAUGUGUAGCGGUGAAAUGCGUAGAGAUAUGGAGGAACACCAGUGGCGAACGCGACUUUCUGGUCUGUAACUGACACUGAGGCGCGAAAGCGUGGGGAGCACACAGGAUUAGAUACCCCUGGUAGUCCACGCCGUAAACGAUGAGUGCUAAGUGUUAGAGGGUUUUCCCGCCCCUUUUAGUGCUGAAUGUUAAACGCAU
rnacentral:rRNA from 1 species